rnacentral:rRNA from 1 species
UACGAAGGGGGCGAGCGUUAUUCGGAAUCACUGGGCGUAAAGCGUGCGUAGGCUGUCUAGCAAGUUGGAAGUGAAAGCCCAGGGCUCAACCCUGGAAUUGCUUUCAAAACUGCAAGACUAGAGUCCGGGAGAGGAUAGCGGAAUUUCCAAGUGUAGUAGUGAAAUACGUAGAUAUUGGAAGGAACACCAGUGGCGCAAGCGGCUAUCUGGAACCGGUACUGACGCUGAGGCACGAAAGCGUGGGGAGCAAACAGGAAUU